GGCCCCAUCGUCUAGAGGCCCAGGACAUGGCCCUUUCAAGGCUAAAACGCGGGUUCGAAUCCCGCUGGGGUCA
rnacentral:tRNA from 1 species